rnacentral:rRNA from 1 species
UCUAUCUACUGUGGGCGCAAGAAAUUUGAGUGGAUCUGAUUCUAGUACGAGAGGACCGAAUUGGACAAACCUCUAGUGUAUCUGUUGUCACGCCAGUGGCAUCGCAGAGUAGCUACGUUUGGAAGGGAUAAGCGCUGAAAGCAUAUAAGCGCGAAACCCACCACAAGAUGAGAUUUCUUUUAAGGGUCGUGGGAGAUGACCACGUUGAUAGGCUAUAGAUGUAAAGGCAGUAAUGUCAUAGUCGAGUAGUACUAAUAACCCGUAAGCUUAUGUAC